rnacentral:rRNA from 1 species
ACGGGAUGUUUUCCUUCGGGGAAGCAUCUAGUGGCGGACGGGUGAGUAACACGUGGGUAACCUGCCUUAUGCAAACGGAUAACAAUGAGAAAUCAUUGCUAAAACGUUAUAAGCCGACGAAGCCGCAUGGUUUUGCCGGAAAAUAUUUAUAGGCAUAAGAGGGGCCCGCGGCUGAUUAGCUAGUUGGUAAGGUAAUGGCUUACCAAGGCGACGAUCAGUAGCCGGACUGAGAGGUUGAACGGCCACAUUGGGACUGAGACACGGCCCAAACUCCUACGGGAGGCAGCAGUGGGGAAUAUUGCACAAUGGAGGAAACUCUGAUGCAGCAACGCCGCGUGAAGGAAGACGGUCUUCGGAUUGUAAACUUCUAUCGAUAGGGAAGAAAAAAAUGACGGUACCGAAAUAAGAAGCACCGGCUAACUACGUGCCAGCAGCCGCGGUAAUACGUAGGGUGCAAGCGUUAUCCGGAAUUACUGGGUGUAAAGGGUGUGUAGGCGGCAAGACAAGUCAUAUGUGGAAUCCCAACGCUUAACGUUGGAAUUGCAUAAGAAACUGUCUAGCUAGAGUGCAGGAGAGGUAAGCGGAAUUCCUAGUGUAGCGGUGAAAUGCGUAGAUAUUAGGAAGAACACCAGUGGCGAAGGCGGCUUACUGGACUGAAACUGACGCUGAGACACGAAAGCGUG